rnacentral:rRNA from 2 species
GCUACAGGCUUAACACAUGCAAGUCGAGGGGAAACGACAUCGAAAGCUUGCUUUUGAUGGGCGUCGACCGGCGCACGGGUGAGUAACGCGUAUCCAACCUGCCCACCACUUGGGGAUAACCUUGCGAAAGUAAGACUAAUACCCAAUGAUAUCUCUAGAAGACAUCUGAAAGAGGUUAAUGAUUUAUCGGUGAUGGAUGGGGAUGCGUCUGAUUAGCUUGUUGGCGGGGUAACGGCCCACCAAGGCGACGAUCAGUAGGGGUUCUGAGAGGAAGGUCCCCCACAUUGGAACUGAGACACGGUCCAAACUCCUACGGGAGGCAGCAGUGAGGAAUAUUGGUCAAUGGGCGAGAGCCUGAACCAGCCAAGUAGCGUGCAGGAUGACGGCCCUAUGGGUUGUAAACUGCUUUUAUAAGGGAAUAAAGUGAGUCUCGUGAGACUUUUUGCAUGUACCUUAUGAAUAAGGACCGGCUAAUUCCGUGCCAGCAGCCGCGGUAAUACGGAAGGUCCGGGCGUUAUCCGGAUUUAUUGGGUUUAAAGGGAGCGUAGGCCGGAGAUUAAGCGUGUUGUGAAAUGUAGACGCUCAACGUCUGCACUGCAGCGCGAACUGGUUUCCUUGAGUACGCACAAAGUGGGCGGAAUUCGUGGUGUAGCGGUGAAAUGCUUAGAUAUCACGAAGAACUCCGAUUGCGAAGGCAGCUCACUGGAGCGCAACUGACGCUGAAGCUCGAAAGUGCGGGUAUCGAACAGGAUUAGAUACCCUGGUAGUCCGCACGGUAAACGAUGGAUGCCCGCUGUUGGUCUGAAUAGGUCAGCGGCCAAGCGAAAGCAAUAAGCAUCCCACUCGGGGA